UACAGAGGGGGCAAGCGUUAUUCGGAAUUAUUGGGCGUAAAGGGCGCGUAGGCGGCUUUGGCAAGUGGAUGGUGAAAUCCCUCGGCUUAACCGAGGAACUGCCGUCCAAACUGCUUUGCUUGAGGCCGGGAGAGGCGAGUGGAAUUCCCAGUGUAGCGGUGAAAUGCGUAGAUAUUGGGAGGAACACCAGUGGCGAAGGCGGCUCGCUGGACCGGUUCUGACGCUGAUGCGCGAAAGCGUGGGGAGCAAACGGG
rnacentral:rRNA from 1 species